CAACAUACUGGUCGCAGAUAUGAUAGAAUCUCAUGGGAGGAUCCCACCCAUAAGUGUUCGGACUAACUAUGCCCUGGGGAUUGCAACUCUUUUUCCAUAUCUUCAGGAUCCAUACUCAAAAAAUGGUUAUGAACAUUACUAUAACCCUGAGGCCAACAGUGGCUAUCUUGCUUGGAGACUCAAGACUGUCCAACGUAACACC